rnacentral:ncRNA from 1 species
UAAUUUAUCGGUUUUCAAGAAAUUGAAAUUAAAAGGGAAACAGGUGAAAGUCCUGUACAACCGCCAUUACCGUAAUUGAGGAAAGUGCUUCGUUACCAUUGGGAAACUGAGAAGGUGUAGUGCGCGUGACAUUUUGUCGCUUUAUCAUAAGUCGGGAGACCUGCCGUAAAUUUAA